AUUGAACGCUGGCGGCAGGCCUAACACAUGCAAGUCGAGCGGAUGAAGGGAGCUUGCUCCUGGAUUCAGCGGCGGACGGGUGAGUAAUGCCUAGGAAUCUGCCUGGUAGUGGGGGAUAACGUCCGGAAACGGGCGCUAAUACCGCAUACGUCCUGAGGGAGAAAGUGGGGGAUCUUCGGACCUCACGCUAUCAGAUGAGCCUAGGUCGGAUUAGCUAGUUGGUGGGGUAAAGGCCUACCAAGGCGACGAUCCGUAACUGGUCUGAGAGGAUGAUCAGUCACACUGGAACUGAGACACGGUCCAGACUCCUACGGGAGGCAGCAGUGGGGAAUAUUGGACAGUGGGCGAAAGCCUGAUCCAGCCAUGCCGCGUGUGUGAAGAAGGUCUUCGGAUUGUAAAGCACUUAAGUUGGGAGGAAGGGCAGUAAGUUAAUACCUUGCUGUUUUGACGUUACCAACAGAAUAAGCACCGGCUAACUUCGUG
rnacentral:rRNA from 1 species